rnacentral:rRNA from 1 species
GUUAAGCGACUAAGCGUACACGGUGGAUGCCCUGGCAGUCAGAGGCGAUGAAGGGCGUGCUAAUCUGCGAUAAGCGCCGGUAAGGUGAUAUGAACCGUUAUAACCGGCGAUACCCGAAUGGGGAAACCCAGUGUGAUUCGUCACACUAUCAUUAACUGAAUCCAUAGGUUAAUGAGGCGAACCGGGGGAACUGAAACAUCUAAGUACCCCGAGGAAAAGAAAUCAACCGAGAUUCCCCCAGUAGCGGCGAGCGAACGGGGAGGAGCCCAGAGCCUGAAUCAGCAUGUGUGUUAGUGGAAGCGUCUGGAAAGGCGCGCGAUACAGGGUGACAGCCCCGUACACAAAAGCGCAUGUGCUGUGAGCUCGAUGAGUAGGGCGGGACACGUGGUAUCCUGUCUGAAUAUGGGGGGACCAUCCUCCAAGGCUAAAUACUCCUGACUGACCGAUAGUGAACCAGUACCGUGAGGGAAAGGCGAAAAGAACCCCGGCGAGGGGAGUGAAAAAGAACCUGAAACCGUGUACGUACAAGCAGUGGGAGCACAGGUUUACCUGUGUGACUGCGUACCUUUUGUAUAAUGGGUCAGCGACUUAUAUUCUGUAGCAAGGUUAACCGUAUAGGGGAGCCGCAGGGAAACCGAGUCUUAAUUGGGCGUUAAGUUGCAGGGUAUAGACCCGAAACCCGGUGAUCUAGCCAUGGGCAGGUUGAAGGUUGGGUAACACUAACUGGAGGACCGAACCGACUAAUGUUGAAAAAUUAGCGGAUGACCUGUGGCUGGGGGUGAAAGGCCAAUCAAACCGGGAGAUAGCUGGUUCUCCCCGAAAGCUAUUUAGGUAGCGCCUCGUGAAUUCAUCUCCGGGGGUAGAGCACUGUUUCGGCUAGGGGGCCAUCCCGGCUUACCAACCCGAUGCAAACUGCGAAUACCGGAGAAUGUUAUCACGGGAGACACACGGCGGGUGCUAACGUCCGUCGUGAAGAGGGAAACAACCCAGACCGCCAGCUAAGGUCCCAAAGUCAUGGUUAAGUGGGAAACGAUGUGGGAAGGCCCAGACAGCCAGGAUGUUGGCUUAGAAGCAGCCAUCAUUUAAAGAAAGCGUAAUAGCUCACUGGUCGAGUCGGCCUGCGCGGAAGAUGUAACGGGGCUAAACCAUGCACCGAAGCUGCGGCAGCGACGCUGAUGCGUUGUUGGGUAGGGGAGCGUUCUGUAAGCCUGCGAAGGUGGCCUGUGAGGGUUGCUGGAGGUAUCAGAAGUGCGAAUGCUGACAUAAGUAACGAUAAAGCGGGUGAAAAGCCCGCUCGCCGGAAGACCAAGGGUUCCUGUCCAACGUUAAUCGGGGCAGGGUGAGUCGACCCCUAAGGCGAGGCCGAAAGGCGUAGUCGAUGGGAAACGGGUUAAUAUUCCCGUACUUGGUGUUACUGCGAAGGGGGGACGGAGAAGGCUAUGUUGGCCGGGCGACGGUUGUCCCGGUUUAAGCGUGUAGGUGUGUGUUCCAGGUAAAUCCGGUUCACUUUAACACUGAGGCGUGACGACGAGGCACUACGGUGCUGAAGCAACAAAUGCCCUGCUUCCAGGAAAAGCCUCUAAGCAUCAGGUAACAUCAAAUCGUACCCCAAACCGACACAGGUGGUCAGGUAGAGAAUACCAAGGCGCUUGAGAGAACUCGGGUGAAGGAACUAGGCAAAAUGGUGCCGUAACUUCGGGAGAAGGCACGCUGACACGUAGGUGAAGUGAUUUACUCAUGGAGCUGAAGUCAGUCGAAGAUACCAGCUGGCUGCAACUGUUUAUUAAAAACACAGCACUGUGCAAACACGAAAGUGGACGUAUACGGUGUGACGCCUGCCCGGUGCCGGAAGGUUAAUUGAUGGGGUCAGCGCAAGCGAAGCUCCUGAUCGAAGCCCCGGUAAACGGCGGCCGUAACUAUAACGGUCCUAAGGUAGCGAAAUUCCUUGUCGGGUAAGUUCCGACCUGCACGAAUGGCGUAAUGAUGGCCAGGCUGUCUCCACCCGAGACUCAGUGAAAUUGAACUCGCUGUGAAGAUGCAGUGUACCCGCGGCAAGACGGAAAGACCCCGUGAACCUUUACUAUAGCUUGACACUGAACAUUGAGCCUUGAUGUGUAGGAUAGGUGGGAGGCUUUGAAGUGUGGACGCCAGUCUGCAUGGAGCCGACCUUGAAAUACCACCCUUUAAUGUUUGAUGUUCUAACGUGGACCCGUUACCCGGGUUGCGGACAGUGUCUGGUGGGUAGUUUGACUGGGGCGGUCUCCUCCUAAAGAGUAACGGAGGAGCACGAAGGUUGGCUAAUCCUGGUCGGACAUCAGGAGGUUAGUGCAAUGGCAUAAGCCAGCUUGACUGCGAGCGUGACGGCGCGAGCAGGUGCGAAAGCAGGUCAUAGUGAUCCGGUGGUUCUGAAUGGAAGGGCCAUCGCUCAACGGAUAAAAGGUACUCCGGGGAUAACAGGCUGAUACCGCCCAAGAGUUCAUAUCGACGGCGGUGUUUGGCACCUCGAUGUCGGCUCAUCACAUCCUGGGGCUGAAGUAGGUCCCAAGGGUAUGGCUGUUCGCCAUUUAAAGUGGUACGCGAGCUGGGUUUAGAACGUCGUGAGACAGUUCGGUCCCUAUCUGCCGUGGGCGCUGGAGAACUGAGGGGGGCUGCUCCUAGUACGAGAGGACCGG